UGCGUGAGCGUUUUGCUCCCGUCUGCAAGAACACUUCAGCAUGCAGUUCCAAUGUUUCAAACCACAAUUUUCCGAAAGGCGAAGGAGAAAUCUAUUGACUGCAACAAUCGGUUACAACUCCGACUGGGAGCCACCUUCAAAAGCAGCGAUUUGAUCUGUUCAUCUGGCUCAUACGAAUGUUACGGAAGCAAUGCGCAACUUGUUUCACAAGAAGCCGAAGAUGUCUCGUCCGGGAUGCUGUGCCAACCUUAUCUGCAGCAGGAGAUUGCAGGGGCAGGACUAGGCAGCAGAUAAAGGCAUUCUGGCACCACCGAAAAGCUUGCACUCCACGUCUCAACUAUCACCGUCUGGGUUUCAAGCUGAAGGCUGUCACCAGUGCCAACCAGACGCCCCUUCAAAGUUCAUCUGUUUUUGUUGACGGAACAGUGACACCUGGUAAACCUGUCACGCAGAUGCCCUACCCCUUGGUAUGCAUAGUUCAAGAUUGUACUGAAACAAUCC